rnacentral:rRNA from 1 species
GUAGGUGGCAAGCGUUGUCCGGAAUUAUUGGGCGUAAAGCGCGCGCAGGCGGUUCUUUAAGUCUGAUGUGAAAGCCCACGGCUCAACCGUGGAGGGUCAUUGGAAACUGGAGAACUUGAGUACAGAAGAGGAAAGCGGAAUUCCACGUGUAGCGGUGAAAUGCGUAGAGAUGUGGAGGAACACCAGUGGCGAAGGCGGCUUUCUGGUCUGUAACUGACGCUGAGGCGCGAAAGCGUGGGGAGCAAACAGGAUUAGAUACCCUGGUAGUCCACGCCGUAAACGAUGAGUGCUAAGUGUUAGGGGGGUUUCCGCCCCCCUUAGUGCUGCAACUAACGCAUUAAGCACUCCGCCUGGGGAGUACGGCCGCAAGGCUG